rnacentral:lncRNA from 1 species
GUGUAAUCAACUUGCCAUACAUGCAUUACCUCCUAAUGAGCGCCGUGUUUAAACAAGUGUAUAGAACACAUCUGUCCGGGCCUUGGGACUCGAGGCUGUGUGACCAAUUUCAGCAUCUGAAAGUUAAAUUAAUGGCCACCAUUUAGUGCCAAUAAACAGAAGGCCUGGUUUCUUCAAAAGAAACACAAGAAAUUGUUUCCUGGUUUUGCCACAGAGAUUGGGUCACAGAGUGCCACCUAAAUGGUAUUACCAUAUUUGUGUUGUCGCCUCUUGGUUUGAAAUUUAUUCCUGGUAUGACUUGUGUCUCCCCUUGUUCCAUCUCUGACACCCAAGCCCAUGGGAUGACAACCCAGGCUGAGAUGUCCCAUGUGUCACAAAGGAGUCCUUCAGUAUUUCCAGGAAUAGUUGGAACCAGCACUCCAUCCCCUACCUGGACCUGGCACCCUCUCUACUCUUGUCAAUUCUACACUAAUCACAGGAAGAAGGUGGAAUUAGUCCAAGCUGGGUUUUCAGAAAUAACUUGUAGACAUGCAACAGAUGUUUAUAACCCUCAGAAGCGGAAGGAAACUUGGAAACCCUCUCUUUCGGUGACUUUUUUUCUAAUGAUUGUCUCUGCCAUGAAAUUCUAACUUCAAAUGAAAUCUUUGGCAGGAACCCAGGGCUGUUCUGUCAAGGUUCAGCUGCAGGACCAGAGCCCCUUCCACCUAACCCCCACUCCUAUCCUGAUGCUUCCUGAGGCACAUCUGCUGUGGUUUCUCACCAGAGAACAGUCUGCAAAAUCACUGCACCUUGUCCAACUCCAUUUUCCAACUGAGAAGACUUGGCCCAGAGAAGUGCACAGACUUGAGGGAAGUAACACAGCAAUCGGACAGACAGACAUCCCCAGAUAUACCUGCUACGGUCCUGGGAGAAAAUAGAGACCCAUCCCCAAAUACCAUCAUCCUCAUCAUUCUCUGUAGCCCAAUCAAAUGAUGCUCCAGGCCUGAGAUUUUAUCCAAUGAACACUCUGUACAUCUUUAAAAGAGAUAUGUACUUGUCUUAUUCCUCCUUUCCUUUCUUUAAAAAAAAACACAGGCCCCAGAUCCAGUCAUUCUAAAUAGGAAGGAAAAACAUAACCCACUGAGGCAAUGGAUGCUGUUUCUCUCCCUGCUCUGUGACUUUAGUUUGCCUUUAAAGCCCAUUUUCACCAUUUAUUGAUUUUAGUUUUCUACUUGUCUAUGAAUGACAACUUGAAUUAAGACAACGCAGGCUGAAAAGCCGCUAGGCAGUGCUAAAUGGACAAGCUACACUUCGUGGCAGGAUGUCUCAUGACCGUGCCACCUUCUGCCUAGCCCCAUUCUCUGGAGGAGCUGUGGGCAGACCGACCCCAGCCUGGCCGCCUGGCAUGGGGACUGGUUGCGUCAGAUCGGAGCUCUGAGAUAAGGGUGGGCCAGGGCAUGAUCAUCACCACUGCCAGCCUCGAAGCCUCUUUGCUGACCUGGAGGUGAUCUGUGUAUCAAAGGGGGCUGUGUAUUCAACAGCACUUCCAGAAGAGGCCAAAGAUCUGUCUCUACUUCAGCCUCCACUGGGCAGAAAACUAAGCCUAUUUGCUCUAGGCCCUUCAGACUUGCACUUGGAGAAAGAAAACUCACUAAGUCAGCCCUUAUGUAACUCCACUCUCCUCUCUUCCAAACCUCCUUGCUUUGGACAAAUAUUUGACAGAAAAUGCCCUUUUGCAACGCCUUAAAAGUUACAAAAAUGGUGCACCCUAUCCUUUAAUCUGUACUGUAAAUAAAAAAUAUUAACAC